rnacentral:tRNA from 1 species
GGGUGGAUGUCCGAAUGGCUAAGGGACCGGUCUUGAAAACCGGCGAAAUCGCAAGAUGUCUGGGUUCGAAUCCCAGUUCACCCGCCA